rnacentral:rRNA from 1 species
UUAACACAUGCAAGUCGAGGGGCAGCAUGGUCUUAGCUUGCUAAGGCCGAUGGCGACCGGCGCACGGGUGAGUAACACGUAUCCAACCUGCCGUCUACUCUUGGACAGCCUUCUGAAAGGAAGAUUAAUACAAGAUGGCAUCAUGAGUCCGCAUGUUCACAUGAUUAAAGGUAUUCCGGUAGACGAUGGGGAUGCGUUCCAUUAGAUAGUAGGCGGGGUAACGGCCCACCUAGUCUUCGAUGGAUAGGGGUUCUGAGAGGAAGGUCCCCCACAUUGGAACUGAGACACGGUCCAAACUCCUACGGGAGGCAGCAGUGAGGAAUAUUGGUCAAUGGGCGAGAGCCUGAACCAGCCAAGUAGCGUGAAGGAUGACUGCCCUAUGGGUUGUAAACUUCUUUUAUAAAGGAAUAAAGUCGGGUAUGGAUACCCGUUUGCAUGUACUUUAUGAAUAAGGAUCGGCUAACUCCGUGCCAGCAGCCGCGGUAAUACGGAGGAUCCGAGCGUUAUCCGGAUUUAUUGGGUUUAAAGGGAGCGUAGAUGGAUGUUUAAGUCAGUUGUGAAAGUUUGCGGCUCAACCGUAAAAUUGCAGUUGAUACUGGAUAUCUUGAGUGCAGUUGAGGCAGGCGGAAUUCGUGGUGUAGCGGUGAAAUGCUUAGAUAUCACGAAGAACUCCGAUUGCGAAGGCAGCCUGCUAAGCUGCAACUGACAUUGAGGCUCGAAAGUGUGGGUAUCAAACAGGAUUAGAUACCCUGGUAGUCCACACGGUAAACGAUGAAUACUCGCUGUUUGCGAUAUACUGCAAGCGGCCAAGCGAAAGCGUUAAGUAUUCCACCUGGGGAGUACGCCGGCAACGGUGAAACUCAAAGGAAUUGACGGGGGCCCGCACAAGCGGAGGAACAUGUGGUUUAAUUCGAUGAUACGCGAGGAACCCUACCCGGGCUUAAAUUGCAGAUGAAUUACGGUGAAAGCCGUAAGCCGCAAGGCAUCUGUGAAGGUGCUGCAUGGUUGUCGUCAGCUCGUGCCGUGAGGUGUCGGCUUAAGUGCCAUAACGAGCGCAACCCUUGUUGUCAGUUACUAACAGGUUCCGCUGAGGACUCUGACAAGACUGCCAUCGUAAGAUGUGAGGAAGGUGGGGAUGACGUCAAAUCAGCACGGCCCUUACGUCCGGGGCUACACACGUGUUACAAUGGGGGGUACAGAGGGCCGCUACCACGCGAGUGGAUGCCAAUCCCCAAAACCUCUCUCAGUUCGGACUGGAGUCUGCAACCCGACUCCACGAAGCUGGAUUCGCUAGUAAUCGCGCAUCAGCCACGGCGCGGUGAAUACGUUCCCGGGCCUUGUACACACCGCCCGUCAAGCCAUGGGAGCCGGGGGUACCUGAAGUGCGUAACCGCGAGGAGCGCCCUAGGGUAAAACUGGUGACUGGGGCUAAAU